UAGGUGUNGGCUGUGUGUUUGCAGUCUGUGCCGUAGCUAACGCAUUAAGCGCCCCGCCUGGGGAGUACGGCCGCAAGGCUAAAACUCAAAGGAAUUGACGGGGGCCCGCACAAGCGGCGGAGCAUGUGGAUUAAUUCGAUGCAACGCGAAGAACCUUACCUGGGUUUGACAUGCACCAGAUCGGCGUAGAGAUACGUCUUCCCUUGUGGUUGGUGCACAGGUGGUGCAUGGUUGUCGUCANCUCGUGUCGUGAGAUGUUGGGUUAAGUCCCGCAACGAGCGCAACCCUUGUCUUAUGUUGCCAGCACAUUUUUGGUGGGGACUCAUGAGAAACUGCCGGGGUCAACUCGGAGGAAGGUGGGGAUGACGUCAAAUCAUCAUGCCCUUUAUACCCAGGGCUUCACACAUGCUACAAUGGUUGGUACAACGGGUUGCGACACUGUGAAGUGAAGCUAAUCUCUUAAAGCCGGCCUCAGUUCGGAUUGGGGUCUGCAACUCGACCCCAUGAAGUCGGAGUCGCUAGUAAUCGCAGAUCAGCAACGCUGCGGUGAAUACGUUCCCGGGCCUUGUACACACCGCCCGUCACGUCAUGAAAGUUGGUAACACCCGAAGCCCAUGGCCUAACCACCACCUGUGGU
rnacentral:rRNA from 1 species